GAUGAACGCUGGCGGCGUGCCUAAUACAUGCAUGUCGAGCGAACGGACGAGAAGCUUGCUUUUCUGAUGUUAGCGGCGGACGGGUGAGUAACACGUGGAUAACCUACCUAUAAGACUGGGAUAACUUCGGGAAACCGGAGCUAAUACCGGAUAAUAUUUUGAACCGCAUGGUUCAUAAGUGAAAGACGGUCUUGCUGUCACUUAUAGAUGGAUCCGCGCUGCAUUAGCUAGUUGGUAAGGUAACGGCUUACCAAGGCAACGAUGCAUAGCCGACCUGAGAGGGUGAUCGGCCACACUGGAACUGAGACACGGUCCAGACUCCUACGGGAGGCAGCAGUAGGGAAUCUUCCGCAAUGGGCGAAAGCCUGACGGAGCAACGCCGCGUGAGUGAUGAAGGUCUUCGGAUCGUAAAACUCUGUUAUUAGGGAAGAACAUAUGUGUAAGUAACUGUGCACAUCUUGGCGGUACCUAAUCAGAAAGCCACGGCUAACUACGUG
rnacentral:rRNA from 1 species